AGUGAACGCUGGCGGUAGGCCUAACACAUGCAAGUCGAACGGCAGCACAGUAAGAGCUUGCUCUUACGGGUGGCGAGUGGCGGACGGGUGAGGAAUACAUCGGAAUCUACUUUUUCGUGGGGGAUAACGUAGGGAAACUUACGCUAAUACCGCAUACGACCUACGGGUGAAAGCAGGGGAUAUUCGGACCUUGCGCGAUUGAAUGAGCCGAUGUCGGAUUAGCUAGUUGGCGAGGUAAAGGCCCACCAAGGCGACGAUCCGUAGCUGGUCUGAGAGGAUGAUCAGCCACACUGGAACUGAGACACGGUCCAGACUCCUACGGGAGGCAGCAGUGGGGAAUAUUGGACAAUGGGCGCAAGCCUGAUCCAGCCAUACCGCGUGAGUGAAGAAGGCCUUCGGGUUGUAAAGCCCUUUUGUUGGGAAAGAAAAGCAGCAGGUUAAUACCCCGCUGUUCUGACGGUACCCAAAGAAUAAGCACCGGCUAACUUCGUG
rnacentral:rRNA from 1 species